rnacentral:misc_RNA from 1 species
UCCUGUGUUGCUUUCCAAACGUGACGGAACUCAGCCCYGKAAGAGGACCUAAAUUUCGCCUCUCGCCCAUUCGUGGCGUUAGGUUGACGUCGAAGCACUACCCUUGCUCCUUGAAUGCUUCGCCUUUUCGCGUUGCAAUCAUGGCCCAUGGGUUGCUGCUAGUUCCCUCGGAUGCAGAACUUUUGAAGGGUGCACAGCAUGUUGCUGUUGUUUACCCACGAAGCGUUCAUCGGUUAAUGCGUAUGACGGUUGUGCCCGUCUUGGCCCCCAAUCUAACUAGUUUAGACGGGGCUCAUGCGGUGCCGGCGUCGCGAAGGGAUGCUACCUGGUUGAUCCUGCCAGUAGUCAUAUGCUUGUCUCAA